rnacentral:tRNA from 1 species
ACUAUUUUGGCAGAAAAAUGUAAUGAUUUUAGAAAUCAUUAAUAUAUAAUUUAUUAUAUAUAUAGUA